UGAGCUCCAUGAUCUGGUUCAUCAGCUUCUCAGUGUUGCCCAUGGUGGCGGAUCGGGUGUGGAGGAGGGGAAUUAGGGUUAGGGUUCCGGCGAUCUCUGCCGAUGCGAACAGCGGCGAGGAUCGGGGAAUGAGAGGUGCGGCGGGCUGUUACAAACUAUCUGUCGACAAACAUCACCAGGUUCUAGCGGCGGCGGCGGCGGCGAUGGACCCGGAUUUUUCCCACUCGAGCAGCGACCAGAACUUCGAGUUUGCCUUCAAUUCGAGCAAUUUCUCCGACCGAGUUCUACGGAUCGAGAUCGUGGCCGGGUUGCCGGAGAGCAAGGCGG
rnacentral:misc_RNA from 1 species